rnacentral:rRNA from 1 species
CAAAAGCUCAAAUUUGAAAUCUGGCACCUUUGGUGUCCGAGUUGUAAUUUGAAGAUUGUAACCUUGGGGUUGGCUCUUGUCUAUGUUUCUUGGAACAGGACGUCACAGAGGGUGAGAAUCCCGUGCGAUGAGAUGCCCAAUCCUAUGUAAGGUGCUUUCGAAGAGUCGAGUUGUUUGGGAAUGCAGCUCUAAGUGGGUGGUAAAUUCCAUCUAAAGCUAAAUAUUGGCGAGAGACCGAUAGCGAACAAGUACAGUGAUGGAAAGAUGAAAAGAACUUUGAAAAGAGAGUGAAAAAGUACGUGAAAUUGUUGAAAGGGAAGGGUUUGAGAUCAGACUCGAUAUUUUGUGAGCCUUGCCUUCGUGGCGGGGUGACCCGCAGCUUAUCGGGCCAGCAUCGGUUUGGGCGGUAGGAUAAUGGCGUAGGAAUGUGACUUUGCUUCGGUGAAGUGUUAUAGCCUGCGUUGAUGCUGCCUGCCUAGACCGAGGACUGCGAUUUUAUCAAGGAUGCUGGCAUAAUGAUCCCAAACCGCCCGUCUUGAA